rnacentral:rRNA from 1 species
AACGCGAAGAACCUUACCAGCUCUAGACUGUCUGGUUUUGGGUACCAGAGAUGGAACCCUUCAGUUCGGCUGGGCCAGAUUCAGGUGCUGCAUGGCUGUCGUCAGCUCGUGUCGUGAGAUGUUGGGUUAAGUCCCGCAACGAGCGCAACCCUCGCCCUUAGUUGCCAUCAUUUAGUUGGGCACUCUAAGGGGACUGCCGGUGAUAAGCCGCGAGGAAGGUGGGGAUGACGUCAAGUCCUCAUGGCCCUUACGGGCUGGGCUACACACGUGCUACAAUGGCGGUGACAGUGGGAUGCAAUGGAGUAAUCCUGCGCAAAUCUCAAAAAGCCGUCUCAGUUCGGAUUGUGCUCUGCAACUCGAGCACAUGAAGUUGGAAUCGCUAGUAAUCGCAGAUCAGCACGCUGCGGUGAAUACGUUCCCGGGCCUUGUACACACCGGUACUA